GAAGAAGUAAGGGGGAGGAGGAGGGAAAGGGAAGGAGAGGGGAAAGAGGAGGAGGACUAAGAAGAAUCCGCAGCAGCAACAGCCGCCAGGUUGGAGGGACACGUCUAGGAACUUGUCCGUCUUCAUUAUAGGCCUGUGCCACAGAAAACCAAGAGAAGAUGGUCCAGGACCUAGCAGUCAGCAGAUGCUUGGCAGUAGGAUGGGGCAGCCGAGCUGAAGACAAAGGAUUCCUUCUGCCUUCACCCAUGGGCUGUGCGAAGAAUGGCUAUUGUCAUUUCCCAUGAUGCCAAAGGACCUGACAUCCAGCACUUGAGAGCUGAGGAAGAAGAAUCUUGGGUUCAAGGACAACCUGAGAAAUGAAAUAAGGCUGGUCUCUAAAAAUAAAACAAAAUGAAACCUAACAAACAACCAAACCAACAAACCAC
rnacentral:lncRNA from 1 species